CCAGGUGAUGGCUUGGAAUUUCAGAGUUCUAAAAUGAACCUAAAAAGUUACUUCAGCAUCCUUAGAAAUAAGUUGUUAAGGCAUGAACAUUUGAGUUCAUCCAAAGUGUUAUCAAAAGGUCUCAUCAAAUUAUUUUAUGUAGAAGAGCACCCAAAUGUUAUUUCUUGCUGUUCCUCUUCUUUUCCUCAAGAGAAAGAAGGUUGAAAACUGAAAAUGAUGAAGUUGAAGAAUGAAGUCAAUGAGUGUUAAGAAGAGAUUCAUUUAUCCUUGAAAAAUGAAAAAGUAGAGUGCUGGUGGUGAUCAUGUCUUCCCUUCACCCAUGGGGACUUUUCAUUUAUCGCUGCCACUCCAGCAUGUUCACUAUUCUCUGUAGCAUGAAAAUCUGAUAAAGCUCAUGAGGGGAGAGAAAACUUAACUUCAAUAUUUUCCUGCUGAGCCUGAGAGUGCUUUGUAUACCCUAGCAAGAUGAAAAUCUUAGCUGCAGCAUCAGGAAGAGGACACCUCACUUUAUCCUACAUUCCUAUCUCAGUCAGGAAAGUAGCUCUAGAGAAGGAACUAAGAAGUCAAGCUGUCCUGCUGUAUUAGUUGUUUACCCCACCUCCCUGAAGCAAGAGGAAAUUUUGCCAGCAGACUGCCUUCUGUCUUGAACUGCAAAAUCAGCUCUUCCCUAGGCCUGUCCCCAGGCCCUUCCUGACUGCUAGCAGACUGGAACUACAGAUUUUGGACUUGUCAACCUCCAUAGUUGAAUGAGCCACUUUUGCAAAAUAAAUCUCUAUUUUUAUAUAUACACAUCCCAUUGAUUCUGGUUUUUGUUUUUGUUUUUGUUUUUGUUUUCUGGAGAACACUGAUCGAACAGGAGAGAAAAGGCCCUGCCGAGUAGAGGACUAGUUUUGUUGCUACCAUCACCAUUGUUAGUAUCCAUGCCUCUUGUUAGACU
rnacentral:lncRNA from 1 species